UCUUGCCGUGAGGAAAGUCCGGGCUCCGCAGAGCAGGAUAACGGAUAACGUCCGCCGAAGGCGACUUCAGGGCCAGUGCAACAGAAAUAAACCGCCGCGUUUUCGCGGCAAGGAUGGAAAGGCGAGGUAAGAGCUCACCGGCGUGCGGGAGACCGCACGGCCAUGUAAACCCUAUCCGGAGCAACACCGCAUAAGAAGCGUUAAUGCUUGCUCGGCAGCUUCAAAGGUGGCAAAGACGUUUGCGGCAACGUAAACGCAAGAUAGAUGAUUGUUUUUAACAGAACCCGGCUUACAGGUGCGG
rnacentral:RNase_P_RNA from 1 species